CAAGGGUUCCUGUCCAACGUUAAUCGGGGCAGGGUGAGUCGACCCCUAAGGCGAGGCCGAAAGGCGUAGUCGAUGGGAAACAGGUUAAUAUUCCUGUACUUGGUGUUACUGCGAAGGGGGGACGGAGAAGGCUAUGUUGGCCGGGCGACGGUUGUCCCGGUUUAAGCGUGUAGGCUGGUUUUCCAGGCAAAUCCGGAAAACCAAGGCUGAGGCGUGAUGACGAGGCACUACGGUGCUGAAGUGACAAAUGCCCUGCUUCCAGGAAAAGCCUCUAAGCAUCAGGUAACAUCAAAUCGUACCCCAAACCGACACAGGUGGUCAGGUAGAGAAUACCAAGGCGCUUGAGAGAACUCGGGUGAAGGAACUAGGCAAAAUGGUGCCGUAACUUCGGGAGAAGGCACGCUGAUAUGUAGGUGAAGCGACUUGCUCGUGGAGCUGAAAUCAGUCGAAGAUACCAGCUGGCUGCAACUGUUUAUUAAAAACACAGCACUGUGCAAACACGAAAGUGGACGUAUACGGUGUGACGCCUGCCCGGUGCCGGAAGGUUAAUUGAUGGGGUUAGCGGCAACGCGAAGCUCUUGAUCGAAGCCCCGGUAAACGGCGGCCGUAACUAUAACGGUCCUAAGGUAGCGAAAUUCCUUGUCGGGUAAGUUCCGACCUGCACGAAUGGCGUAAUGAUGGCCAGGCUGUCUCCACCCGAGACUCAGUGAAAUUGAACUCGCUGUGAAGAUGCAGUGUACCCGCGGCAAGACGGAAAGACCCCGUGAACCUUUACUAUAGCUUGACACUGAACAUUGAGCCUUGAUGUGUAGGAUAGGUGGGAGGCUUUGAAGUGUGGACGCCAGUCUGCAUGGAGCCGACCUUGAAAUACCACCCUUUAAUGUUUGAUGUUCUAACGUUGGCCCCUGAUCGGGGUUGCGGACAGUGUCUGGUGGGUAGUUUGACUGGGGCGGUCUCCUCCUAAAGAGUAACGGAGGAGCACGAAGGUUGGCUAAUCCUGGUCGGACAUCAGGAGGUUAGUGCAAUGGCAUAAGCCAGCUUGACUGCGAGCGUGACGGCGCGAGCAGGUGCGAAAGCAGGUCAUAGUGAUCCGGUGGUUCUGAAUGGAAGGGCCAUCGCUCAACGGAUAAAAGGUACUCCGGGGAUAACAGGCUGAUACCGCCCAAGAGUUCAUAUCGACGGCGGUGUUUGGCACCUCGAUGUCGGCUCAUCACAUCCUGGGGCUGAAGUAGGUCCCAAGGGUAUGGCUGUUCGCCAUUUAAAGUGGUACGCGAGCUGGGUUUAGAACGUCGUGAGACAGUUCGGUCCCUAUCUGCCGUGGGCGCUGGAGAACUGAGGGGGGCUGCUCCUAGUACGAGAGGACCGGAGUGGACGCAUCACUG
rnacentral:rRNA from 1 species